rnacentral:lncRNA from 1 species
AUGGGGGCCGGCGGUUGGGGUGGGGGUGUGGCUGCAGGUUGGGGCUCCCGCUCCGCCGGCUGCGCGGGUUCGCAGUGCGCUGAGGAGGAAGCGCUGGCGAGGAAGCGCUGGCGACCCCGAGAGGGAGGGAGCAGGACGAUCCCAGCUCAGAGCACCUGCCUGGACACCGUGGGUUUUUGGGGUGGGGGAGCCCCGGCGACUUUGAGCAUGGACCCCGUCGCGGGAACCUUUCUCAGGAUGCUCUUUCUUUUGUCUGCCCAACCCUGGAGUACAUUAGCAGCAGGGAAUACUUAUAACUGUGAUGCUCCUCUGGCGUCCUCCUUGCCCCGGGCUUCCUUCACCAGUUCCUCAGAGCUGUCUAGUAGCCAUGGCCCUGGCUUUGCAAGUCUUAAUCGCAGGGAUGGAGCUGGUGGCUGGUCUCCUCUUGUGUCAAAUAAAUACCAGUGGCUGCAGAUUGACCUUGGAGAGAGAAUGGAGGUCACAGCUGUGGCAACCCAGGGAGGAUAUGGGAGCUCCGACUGGGUGACCAGCUACCUCCUGAUGUUCAGUGAUGGCGGGAGGAACUGGAAGCAAUAUCGACGAGAGGAAAGCAUCUGGGGUUUUCCAGGAAACACAAAUGCAGACAGUGUGGUGCACUACAGACUCCAGCCUACCUUCGAAGCCAGAUUCCUGCGCUUCCUCCCCUUAACCUGGAACCCCAAAGGCAGGAUUGGGAUGCGGAUUGAAGUGUAUGGGUGUGCCUACAGAUCCGAGAUGGUUCAUUUUGAUGGGAAGAGUUAUUUGCUGUACACAUUUAAUCAUAAAUCCGUGAAUCCAAUCAAGGAAGUUAUUUCUCUGAAAUUUAAAACCAGAGAGAACAAUGGGAUUCUACUCCACAGAGAAGGGCCAAAUGACAAACACAUCACCCUGGAGUUAAUUAAAGGAAAACUCAUCUUAUUCCUUAAUUCAGGUCGUGCUAACUUGCCCUCACCUGAUGCUCUCAUGCUGGGCAGUUUGCUGGAUGAUGAACACUGGCAUUCUGUUCUCGUUGAGCUCCUCAAUACAGAUGUCAACUUCACUGUGGACACGCACACUCAUCAUUUUCGAGGAAAAGGAGAGUCCAACUAUGUGGAUCUCAAUUAUAAGAUCAGCUUUGGAGGGAUUCCUGGACAUGGAAAAUCAGUAGCAUUCCCACAUAAAAACUUUCAUGGCUGCUUUGAAAAUCUCUAUUAUAAUGGAGUGGAUAUCAUUGAUUUGUCCAAGAAACACAAGCCACAGGUCCUCAUCAUGGGAAAUGUGUCCUUCUCCUGCUCACACACGCAAACUGUCCCCAUGACUUUUCUGAGCUCCAGGAGUUACUUGGUGCUACCAGGCACUUCCAGAGAGGACAAAGUGUCUGUGAUCUUCCAAUUUCGAACAUGGAACAGAGCAGGACUGUUGCUGACCAGUCAGUUUCAGCAUAGGUCAGGAGCUCUCAUCCUUGUUCUUAGUGAUGGAAAACUCAAGCUGAGUCUCUCCCAGCCUGGACAUCCAGCCAGGGACAUCACAGCAGGCGCUGGACUAAAUGAUGGGCAGUGGCAUUCUGUGUCCUUAUCUGCAAGAGGGCAUCACCUGAGUAUGAUAGUGGAUGGUGAGGCAGCCUCCAUGGCUCAUUCCUUGCGUGGGCAGAUUGAGUCAGGCAACACCUACUAUUUGGGGGGCUGUCCUGACAACAACAGCUCUCACCCUGGAUGUACUAACUCCCUGGGUGGAUUUCAGGGCUGCCUGAGGCUAAUUUCCAUUGGCGACGAAGCAGUGGAUCCCAUCUCCGUACAGCAGGGGGCGCUAGGGAGUUUCCGUGACCUCCAGAUAGACACCUGUGGCCUCACAGAUAGGUGUUUGCCCAGCUAUUGUGAACAUGGUGGUGUAUGUUCCCAAUCCUGGAACACCUUCUCCUGCGACUGUACACACACUGGUUACACGGGCGCAACCUGCCAUUCCUCUCUCUACGAGCAGUCAUGUGAAGCCCACUGGCACAGAGGAAACUCUUCAGGGCUCUAUUAUAUUGACUCAGAUGGAAGUGGCCCCCUGGAACCAUCCCUGGUAUAUUGCAACAUGACAGACACUGCUUGGACCUCAGUGCAGCAUAACAGCUCCCACUUGGUCAAGGUCAAAAGCUUGAAUGGAGAAAGCCCCCAUCCAGUAUUUUUCAAGUACAUAGCCAGCAUGGACCAGCUCCAGACCAUCAUUGACUAUGCUGACAACUGCCAACAGGAGCUGACUUUUCACUGCAAGAAGUCAAGACUUUCAACUCCCCAAGAUGGAACCCCAGUGAGCUGGUGGGUUGGAAGAACCAAUGAAACACACACUUACUGGGGAGGUUCUCAGCCUGAUGCUCAAAAAUGUACUUGUGGAUUAGAGGGGAACUGCAUUGAUUCUCAAUAUUACUGCAACUGUGAUGCUGACCGGAAUGAAUGGACCAGCGACACAGUAGUUCUUUCCCAUAAGAAGCACCUGCCGGUUACUCAGGUUGUGAUGAGAGAUACAGGGCAACCACAUUCUGAAGCGGCUUAUUCACUGGGUCCUCUGCUCUGCUCCGGGGACAAUUCAUUUUGGAAUUCAGCUUCCUUCAAUACUGAGACCUCAUACCUUCAUUUCCCCACGUUCCGAGGAGAGCUUAGUGCUGAUGUGUCUUUCUUUUUUAAGACCACAGCCUCUUCAGGGGUGUUUUUAGAGAACCUGGGAAUCACAGACUUCAUCAGGCUAGAGCUUCGAGCCCCAACAGAAGUAACCUUUUCCUUUGAUGUGGGGAAUGGGCCCUGUGAGGUCACGGUGCAGUCUCCCACUGCCUUUAAUGACGAUCGGUGGCACCACGUGAAGGCAGACCGGAACGUUAAAGAAGCGUCCCUUCAAGUGGGUCAGCACCCUCGCAAGACCCAACCUGCCCCAGCUGACGGGCACGCCCGCCUGCAGCUCAACAGCCAGCUUUUCGUGGGUGGAACUGCAAGCCGACAGAGAGGCUUCCUGGGGUGCAUUCGGUCUCUGCGAUUGAACGGGCUGGCCCUGGACCUGGAAGAGAGAGCCACGAUGACCCCAGGAGUGGAGCCAGGGUGUCCAGGACACUGCAGCACCUACGGCCAUCUGUGUCGCAAUGGAGGGAGGUGUAGAGAAAAGCGCAGAGGGAUCACGUGUGACUGCACCGUCUCUGCAUAUGACGGGCCGUUCUGCGAGAACGACAUUUCUGCUUAUUUUGGAGCUGGCUCCUCGGUGAUCUACAAUUUUCAAGAACAUUACAAUGACACCUUUAGCAAGAACUCCAGCUCCGUCACAGCUUUAUUUCAUGAGGAUCUGACAUUGACAGGAGAAAUGGCUACACUGAGCUUCCGGACCACAGGGACACCUAGCUUACUGCUCUAUGUGAGCUCAUUCUAUGAGGAAUACCUUUCAGUUAUCCUUGCCCCAAACGGAAGUUUGCAGAUCGGGUAUAAGCUAGACAGACACCGAGAACCUGAUGUUUUUAACUUUGGUUUUAAAAACCUGGCUGAUGGGCAGCUUCACCAUGUGAGGAUUAACAGAGAAGCAGCAGUGAUGUUUGUAGAGGUUAACCAGAAUGCAAGGAGACAAGUCAUCCUGUCUUCAGGGACAGAAUUCAAUGCUGUCAAGUCCCUUAUGUUGGGGACGAUUUUAGAGCCCCUCGGCGCGGACCCGGACACGCUGCGGGCCGGCGCGCGCGGCUUCACCGGCUGCCUUUCUGCGGUACGCUUCGGGCCUGCAGUCCCUCUGAAGGCGGCGCUGCGCUCUGGCGGCCACUCCCAGGUCACCGUCCGCGGACACGUGGCCACCGCGUCCCGCUGCGCGGAUGGGACGGGGCCCGGAGCCCCAGCGCGGGAGGCGACCCGCCCUCUCUCAGGAGGAGCAGGUGUGAUAGCGGUUGUGGUAUUUAUUUUGCUCUGCAUCACUGCCAUUGCUAUACGCAUUUAUCAACAGAGAUGGCUGUACCAAAAAAAUGAAACAAAUAUUCCAAAAACUGGAGACAAUGCUGAAACUGCUCUGAAAAGUGAGCUCAACAUGCAAUGUACAGUCAAUGAAAGCCAGAAAGAGUAUUUCUUCUGA